rfam:Populus trichocarpa scaffold_5_contig_333, whole genome shotgun sequence.
UCUAAAACUCUAGAUAUAGACUGAACACAGAACAAAGUCUAGGAUACAAGACAAAUUCAGACUCCUUUUUUGUUACUAAGAUCUGAACUUACAAAUGAUAGUAUUGAGUCUUGGGCUCUUCAAUAAUGUUUUAAGCCUAUAUCUUAACUUUUCAUC